GGCAGGGUAGCUCAAUUGGUUAGAGCACAGCAUUCAUAACGCUGAGGUCGCGGGUUCAAGUCCCGCCCCUGCUA
rnacentral:tRNA from 3 species